ensembl:lncRNA
CUGCCACAGGGGAAGAGUUUCUGGAGAUCUCUCCUUAGUGAAGUUCUCCCUCACAAACUUAGACUCCUCUGAUACAGAGCCUGAUGUGUUCUCAUGAAAACGAGAAUAUUCAUUUCUCAAGUACCCUGCCUGGGACUUAAAGAAUGCUUUGAAAUCAGUGAUGUUACUUCAACAGAAGACCUUGCACAUCUGUUUCUGGGUCUCUCUUUGGAAGCACUGGAAAGGAAAAGCUUGAAAGAAAGCACUCUUUCACAGGCCCUUGUUCCAUCGUGCCGUGCUGUUUGCACACAGACUGCUGGUGGCUGCGCAACACAGGAGUGUGGGGCUGGGAAAGGAUCGGGAGUGCUGAGUGUGCAGUCUGCACCCAGCAUCACACCACAGCUUCCCCCAGACGGCACACUGCUGCGCGUGGAGCAGAAAUCUGCCUCUGUUUCCUAUUUUAUAGAAACUGAAAUGACCGCAGUGGAUCUGUCCCUAGCUGCUAUCCAGCAGGCCCUGCUUUAAUUUUAGAAUAUGUUUGGGACUUUCCCUUCUGAGGGUCUUCAGACCUGAUUUUCUGGGUGAGUAUUAGUAAUAAUGGUCCAAAAAAAGCCAAAAAGAAAUAUAUGAAACAUUCUAUUAAGUUUGAAAUGAAAUUCUGAAUAAGAUGUGUGUGUUCUUCACAGAAUAUUUACUUUGUAAUACAACCAUUGAUAAUAAAAAAAAAAAACUGCAGUAGUUUUCAGUAUACUUAGAUUGUCUGUUUUCUUCCUUUAUUUUCCUAAUUUUUGCAAUAUUUUUCCUAGUUUCAAAGGAAAGGGUUGAAACUGUAGAGCUCUGGGAGUUGUCCCAUUUGCCACAUGUUGUGUAUGUGUGCAUUUUAUAUAUAUAUAUAUAGACAUUGGGGCUUAGCCUAGGUAGUGACAAGAAUGCAUCCAGUGCUGGUAGACUUGAGAAACAAUAAAAUAAUGUCCUACUCCAUAAAUCCACCACUCCAGACUUCGAAUCACCCGUCUUGGCCAGAAAUCACUGUGGGAAAAGAAGAGGGAGAUGGGGGAGGAUGGAAGAUGAUAUUCAUCCAUCUGUGCUCUCCUUUAGCAUACUCGACCUUCCCACAGCUUUGGAGUGUGCUCUGAGAGGCCAAAAGUCUUCUGGCCUGAAUUCUCCUCCUCUUAAUUUUAACCUGCCAAAUAAUCUAAACUAGAAAUAUGCUUGCCUUAGGCUUUCUAUGGAGUCAAUGGAGAGAGAAAAGCAUCUCCAGAAGAUGACUCAGAUAUUCCACAGGCUCUGGUACUUGGCAAGGCCAGAUGUGCUCCUCCCAGCUGGACAGCAGCAGGGAGCCAGGGAAGCCCCAGAAGCCCCAGCUGUGAGUGACAGCACAUCAGGGAGCUCCUAGACAGGUGCGAGGGGCUCUCCUGCAUGCAUUGCAGUCACGAUCACAGGCUACACAGAAACACACCAAAAGGAAAGCAUCGGAAAGAAGCACUCCUAUCAGCCCUUGUACAAGAGAGCCAUUUUCUCUCUGCCUUUACCUUUGCCUCAAAGAGUGACUUGGAACUAAGUGCUGCUGCUCAUGUGUAAACAGAAAUGGGAAACAUGCAUCCUCAACUGAAAGUGAAAUGUGCUCUUCAUUGUAUUUUCUAAUUUCUUCCUCUAAGCAAGGAAGAAUUUCUUAUUUUUAUCCCACUUGAUCCUGACUGCAGCAUUCAGCUGCUGUGUUGCUAUCAACAGCACAGUCCUGAGGCCCCAAUUUCACUCAUUUGACACACACAAGGGCUAUGCUUCAGGCCAGCACAAAUUAGUCCCAACAAAAGCAGUUAUGCACUACCAUUCUUUUCUCAUCCCCCUCUGUGCUAUCCCUUCCCUCAGGCAAUGUUGGGUGUUUACCCACUCUGUGUUUAACUGCACCUCACGAAGGGCCAAUCAGUUCUUAUUUCCUACUCUUGCUUUAGCCUGAAUGCAUUCCCCUGUGCGGUUCACUGCUCAGCAUACAGAUCUAUAGCUAGCACAGCCUAUAACUAGUGUAAUUUAUGAAAUGCUGAUAUUCUGUUGAGCUAGAGCCAUCUACACUAAAAUUUAUAGAUUUUAUUCUAAUGUAGUUUUGCAUCUUGCUAGAAAACAUCUUGGAGACAGUUGGAUCAAGUAUCAUAGAACCACAGAAUGACUUGGGUUGGAAGGGACCUAAAAGCCCACCCAGUUCCACCCCCCUGCCUUAGGCAGGGCUGCCACCCACCAGCUUAGGCUGCCCAGCGCCCCAUCCAACCUGGCCUUGAAUGCCUCCAGGGAUGGGGCAUCCACAGCCUCUCUGGGCAGCCUGUGCCUCAGUGCCUCACGGCCCUCUGACUAGAGAAUUUCCACCUAAUAUUUAACCUAAAUUUCCUCUCUUUUAGUUUGAAGCCAUUCCCCUUUGUCCUAUUGCUAUCAGGUCGUAUAGAAAGUUGGUCUCCCAGAAAAACACCAUUUUAUCCUCUAUGCAGUAACAACAUUCCUGAUGAGAAUUUAACAGCAUCUGACUUUGCUGAAAUACUGUUAUAAACUAAAUCAGCUCAGUUUCGUUAAAUCCUUAUUAGGACAUUAAACCACCCAGCGUUUAACUCACACUCUGAUUCUGAACUGAAACUCUCACAGAAAAGAUUUCCUAAUGACGUGUUACCAUUUACUUCAAAAUGGCAGAAUGUCCAUACUACUUCAGUUUUUUGUAAACUCAUCAUUAGCAUCUAGAUGUGAGUGCAACUAUCACUGUGUUUUGUAGAGGCAGAUUUCAAAACUUUUACACGUAGGAGUUAAAACUUUAAGUAAGAAUUGGUCAUUUAAGUUCUGCAAUGACUGACUGAUCUAGAUAGCAUUACUGCCACUGAUCCUAUUAUGGAUUUUAAGAUGUGAAUGCCAUGCCGAUCAGAAUUAUGCAACUUAACCCUUGUAAUACAUCCUCUAUAUAUAAUUCUUCUGCCAAAGAUUUGUGGUCCACUACGUGGCACAAGCACUGCUGACCAUCUGUUCCAUUAGAGAUGUCACAGACACAAGUGCAACCGUUUCAAGGAACGGUAAAUAAGCACCCUGGACAGAACGUACACUGGUCCUUUGUUCAGCAGUAGCAUAAGAGACAUACUUCAGAUCUGCUUAGUAAACGUAUUUUCCAAUACAGACUGGACUGCUGCCUCAUCGUAAGUACUCCUGUUAACCACAAAUUUUUAAGGAUAAGAGCUGAUGAACUUGACAUUUCUCAUUUAAAAGUGUCUCUAGAACCAGGGCCAGAGAAUAUUUGCAGGUCCAAGGCCCACAGCUGUCAAAAUGUCAAAGCUGAGCAAUGGCUUUGAGGUAUAAAUUAGUUCUUGUAAGGUGCAACUAAAGAUCUUUUCUUGAGCAUACAGGGCUCGAUUUCCAUUCAUAACUUCUAAACAGUCAAGUCUGUAACAACCAACUGCAGUCACAGAAUGUAUGUCUACCUGUUUGACUUUGUGUGACCCUUGAAGGAAGAGAAGCCUCAGAGCAUGUGGCACUUACAACAUGAAGUGGCAGUUUGUCUGAGGUUUCUGGAUUGUGUCACCUGUGCCUGGUCUGCUUCUGCCCUGUUUGCAUGGGCGGGGCUCAGACAUACUUUUCAAAUGAGCCACUGACAAUGAAACACCUGAUUUUCUGCUUCAAAACACAAAACGAGUAGGCUCUGAAACCGACUGCUGCCCAGCAAAACUCCACUCCACAUCGGUGUUCUUUUAUCUUCCCAAUUUCAGCAGAGACAAAGAGGAUUUCUGAUUCAAGACAUAAACCAACAGGUUUUCUGUCUUCUUUGUGAAAUUCAGAUAGAGACAGAAACUGCUUUUAAGACCUCUACUAUGUGUACAGAGCCAUGAGAUCGUGUGCAGAAGCUGAAGACCUACAAGAGGUAAAGAAGCAGUGAGCUCUUCUCUACUUACCUCCUCCAUGCAGAUCCCCGAAAGUCAUGCGGUUAAUAUCACAUUUUCAGUUCAUAAAUGAAUACAUACUCUACUCUUAAUGUAGACAUUCUUAAAAGCUUUCAUUAUUUGUGCUAGAUUACAAACGAGUUCCUUUUAUUGAAUCGUCAUGGUGACAAGUGUUAUUACAAUAAAUAUAUUUAAGGAAUUUUUAAAAAUGCAGCAGAUUUCUCCAUCUUUUUGUUAUCAUCAUGUCUCUUUUUUCAGAGGUGUCUGAAUAGAGCUGUAUGACAAACAGAGUUGAUUCCCGAGCGCUCCUGUACAGGCCAUUAUCUGCCCAUCACAAGGCAGAAAGUACUCGAAAAGAAUUCUUGCUGCUAGGUAGAGUAACAUGAUGUCCCCACAUCUGAGUUUCAAAACACAUUUUUAGGGGGCAGGAGAGAAGUUCCUAUAUUCAAAUCACACAUUUGAAUCACUGAGAAUUGUAAUAUCGUGCAAAACUAGGUUUCUGGUAUAUUUUUAGUAUUCAGAUGAGAUUGUGCCAUGAAUAACCGAUCCAUUUUUGACUGUACCAUUUUAGGAAAAAAAAUGUUUUUACUAAACAAUUAGCAAAUUUCCUCCAAAAGCUGCCCUGAUAAGGAAGAGAGCAUCACAUGGCACGUUUGGGAUGCGUGCAAACACGUGCCACGUGGGCCACUGAGCAGAGCGGCGUGACAGCAGCUUGCUAUGAUUGCUCCAUCACGCCGAUGGCAGAGCCCCUUUGGAGUUUGGAACAGGAACGUUACAGUGAACAGAAACCACCCAUGCUUUCUUUUGCCUGGAAGACAAGAUUAUAUAGACAUACAUAUGCAUGAAAUGAGUUCUAUUUAAAAUGCUUUAAUUUCUAUGAACCUCCCCUCCAAAAAGAAUUCCCCCCCCAAAAAAACCUGACGGGAACUUUCUCUUCACUUCAGCUUUUUCUCGUCCGGAAAAGUCUCUAGACAUCAUUCCAACGAACCGCCCCUCCGGCCCCGGCAGGGCUGCGCUCCCCGCCCCGCU